rnacentral:rRNA from 1 species
CCUUGGGGAGGAAUCCCGGGAACUGGGGAUAAUACCCUAUAGACUAUGGAUGCUGGAAUGCUCUGUAGCCGAAAGGUCCGCCGCCAUAGGAUGGGUCUGCGGCCGAUUAGGUUGUUGUUGGGGUAACGGCCCAACAAGCCUGUAAUCGGUACGGGUUGUGGGAGCAAGAGCCCGGAGAUGGAUUCUGAGACACGAAUCCAGGCCCUACGGGGCGCAGCAGGCGCGAAAACUUUGCAAUGCGGGAAACCGUGACAAGGGAACUCUGAGUGCCCGUAAAAUCGGGCUGUCCAUCGGUUUAAAUAACCGGUGAAGAAAGGGCCGGGCAAGACCGGUGCCAGCCGCCGCGGUAAUACCGGCGGCUCGAGUGGUGGCCACUAUUACUGGGCUUAAAGCGUUCGUAGCUGGUUUGUUAAGUCUCUGGGGAAAUCUUCCGGCUUAACCGGAAGGCGUCUCAGGGAUACUGGCAGACUAGGGACCGGGAGAGGUGAGAGGUACUCCAGGGGUAGGAGUGAAAUCCUGUAAUCCUUGGGGGACCACCUGUGGCGAAGGCGUCUCACCAGAACGGCUCCGACAGUGAGGGACGAAAGCUGGGGGAGCAAACCGGAUUAGAUACCCGGGUAGUCCCAGCUGUAAACGAUGCGCGUUAGGUGUAUCGGUGACCACGAGUCACCGAGGUGCCGAAGAGAAAUCGUGAAACGUGCCGCCUGGGAAGUACGGUCGCAAGGCUGAAACUUAAAGGAAUUGGCGGGGGAGCAC